rnacentral:lncRNA from 1 species
AAAUUUUGAUAUUCCAAUCCAUUAACCUAUCUUUAAACAGAUAUUUUAUUCACACUUGACAACUAUAAGCUACAACGAGUGUUAGUAAUGAAUAAAAAACCUCUCUGGAGAUGCAGAAUUAUCAACGGAAGGUAAAAUCUUCAAUAAAUCCUGUUGCUCGUCAUUGGUUAGAUGAGACACAAAUUUGUCAAAAUUAAGGAUAUCCUGCAUCAAUGUUGAAAUUGAUUAAAACAGAGUACAGUGCAUAGCCUUUAACAUCAAUGCCACUGAAUUCAAUACUCAAGAACAAUUAAGAACAGAAAUGAUCAGGAAAAAGAUUAAGUUACGAAUAAAGUGAUAAUAGGCAUAAAAUGGAGCGUGUAUACAGAUGCCUGGAAAUCUAAAAUCAAGAAAUCAAGAACUAGUAUGAGGAGUUAGAACGAAGAUGGAGUCCAUGAUUUAGUUUACUCUCUGUACACUGCAUAAAAUAAGUCUUAAAAAGAGAGGGAAUUUAAUUAAUGACAAAUUUCGCCCAGUGACACUGACAUAUUGUCUUUCAAGAAAUACGGAAUCCUUGCAUUACCAUUAGUAAACAUUAGUACUUCUGAUCAUAGUAUAAAAAGAAUGUUCAGA